UACGGGGGGGGCAAGCGUUGUUCGGAAUUACUGGGCGUAAAGGGCUCGUAGGCGGCCAACUAAGUCGGAUGUGAAAUCCCCAGGCUUAACCCGGGAACUGCGUCCGAUACUGGCAGGCUUGAAUCCGGGAGAGGGAUGCGGAAUUCCAGGUGUAGCGGUGAAAUGCGUAGAUAUCUGGAGGAACACCGGUGGCGAAGGCGGCAUCCUGGACCGGUAUUGACGCUGAGGCGCGAAAGCCAGGGGAGCAAACGGG
rnacentral:rRNA from 1 species